rnacentral:misc_RNA from 1 species
GAUCUUCCAUCUAAAUAGUUGUGACCAUUAUUAAAUCACAGCCAAAAAAUAUAGUAAAAUUCUUAAAACAAAAUAAGCUAUACAUCCAAAUUCCAAAUACCAGAAAUAUGAGUAUUGGGAUAAAUCUUAUAUAGACCAAGAAAAAAGACAUCCAUAAUGACCCUAACUAAAAGCAAUCCAAUUGCAGAAGUCAAAAUUUUUUAGUCCAUCAGGAGACCUUUUGAGCAUAAGGCCAAAAAGGUGGAACUUCCAUUCCAGCAGUCCAAACUUGAGUUUUAAAAGUUGGAAUAACUAACUUUAAACACUAGACUAUAUGCUCAGCAAACAAGCCACAAUUGGAUAUAUGGAACUGAAAUCUUCUAGAUAUUUUACCAGCCAAAUGAAUAAGAUCAAUAUUUGUGGCAUGAAAAAUCUACGCUCAACAAAAUUGAAUAAAUAAUGGUAACAAAACAUUCCAAUAAG